rnacentral:rRNA from 1 species
CUUGCUUCUCUUGAGAGCGGCGGACGGGUGAGUAAUGCCUAGGAAUCUGCCUGGUAGUGGGGGAUAACGUCCGGAAACGGACGCUAAUACCGCAUACGUCCUACGGGAGAAAGCAGGGGACCUUCGGGCCUUGCGCUAUCAGAUGAGCCUAGGUCGGAUUAGCUAGUUGGUGGGGUAAUGGCUCACCAAGGCGACGAUCCGUAACUGGUCUGAGAGGAUGAUCAGUCACACUGGAACUGAGACACGGUCCAGACUCCUACGGGAGGCAGCAGUGGGGAAUAUUGGACAAUGGGCGAAAGCCUGAUCCAGCCAUGCCGCGUGUGUGAAGAAGGUCUUCGGAUUGUAAAGCACUUUAAGUUGGGAGGAAGGGCAGUAAAUUAAUACUUUGCUGUUUUGACGUUACCGACAGAAUAAGCACCGGCUAACUCUGUGCCAGCAGCCGCGGUAAUACAGAGGGUGCAAGCGUUAAUCGGAAUUACUGGGCGUAAAGCGCGCGUAGGUGGUUCGUUAAGUUGGAUGUGAAAUCCCCGGGCUCAACCUGGGAACUGCAUUCAAAACUGACGAGCUAGAGUAUGGUAGAGGGUGGUGGAAUUUCCUGUGUAGCGGUGAAAUGCGUAGAUAUAGGAAGGAACACCAGUGGCGAAGCGACCACCUGGACUGAUACUGACACUGAGUGCGAAAGCGUGGGGAGCAAACAGGAUUAGAUACCCUGGUAGUCCACGCCGUAAACGAUGUCAACUAGCCGUUGGGAGCCUUGAGCUCUUAGUGGCGCAGCUAACGCAUUAGUUGACCGCCUGGG